ncrna:unclassified sequences Transposase-2 RNA
GAAGUGCGAACCAAGCAGGCAUGAAAGUGCCGUAAGACUUGGAGCGGGCGGUCGCAAGACCACCCUGCA